rnacentral:misc_RNA from 1 species
ACGCUAUCUCUGUCAAUAACCUCGCAAGCGUAGAGAUACAUAAAACUCGCAAGGGGAAAUAUUCCCUCUAACCUGAGCCACACCUGAGCUAAGGCGAUGCUACGCUACGUUUUGACCGGCUGAAAUUAUUCUGUACUAUUUGAUGUGAAGUCGAUUUUCUAUAAAAUUUAAUGAAAAAAUGUUAUAGAACGUCGAGGCACUCCGUAAAUCGUAGGAAAACGAAUAAUUCAUUGUAAUAUCACUUCUACUUUGCGCAAAGAUAUCGCGGUUAGUGCUUUCGUACGAGAGAAUUAGUUUUCCAAAUUGAUUCGUCGGAAAAUUACAACAUUACGAUUGGAAAACUAAAUAAUUGUUGGUAUUUUUGACUAGUGGGAAUUUUUCAUCACAAUUUUGAUUAAGGUGUCUAUCUCAGUGGUGUUACGAAUCACAGAGAAAAGAAAUAAAUUUCCACAUAGAACGAGAGUUUAUUUAAUAUUUUCGUUUUUUAUUUGACAAACCAUAGUUACAAUUGCCAACAAUUUCGAAUUCUACGAUGAUGAUAGAAGAGUGUAGUUUCGCUUUUAUGAAGCAAAGUUCUUCAUUUUUUACUAGUUGUCCAAUUGACGCGUGAUAGAUACUUUGUCACCUAACAAUGGCAAUAAAUUUGGAUAUCAAGCUCAAGAGAGCCAACAAAAUAUAUCACGAAGGGGAAAUUGUGUCGGGAAUAAUACUGCUCAAAUGCAACUCUGAUGUUAAGCACGAUGGCAUUUUCCUCACUAUGGAAGGUUCGGUGAACCUUCAGUUAAGCUCAAAAAAUGUUGGAAUAUUCGAGGCGUUUUAUAACUCUGUCAAGCCGAUCCAGCUGGUGCAGUACACGCUGGACGUAGCCCCAGCAGGUAAAAUACCAAGUGGCAAAACUGAGAUUCCUUUUGAGUUGCCGCUGAAGCCAAGAGGCAACAAACCUCUGUACGAAACUUACCAUGGGGUAUUCGUCAGCAUUCAGUAUUUGGUUCGCUGCGAUAUCAAGCGAAGCUUCCUGGCAAAAGAUGUUAGCAAGUCUUUGGAAUUCAUCAUGGAAGAUAAGCCGGUGAAUUUACAGUUGCAAAAAGCUCACUCUAAAAUAGUAUUUUACAAAAUAACACCAGAGUCGCUUCAAAACAUCAGAGAAAGAACUGGCGUACCAAAAUUCCUGAUAUCUGGAAGACUUGACUCUGUCUGCUGUAAAUUAACUCAGCCCUUAACCGGAGAGGUGAUUAUUGAACACUGCGAAGUACCCAUAAAGUCGAUUGAGCUUCAGUUGGUGAGAGUGGAAACAUGCGGAUGUGCGGAAGGAUAUUCUAGAGAUGCUACGGAGAUACAAAAUAUACAAAUAGGAGAAGGUAACGUUUGCACUGGGCUAGCGAUACCAGUUUACAUGAUAUUCCCACGCCUGUUUACCUGCCCGACAUUGAAUACAAGUAAUUUCAAAGUUGAGUUCGAAGUAAACCUAAUAGUCGUAUUUGAGGACGACUAUUUGGUCACAGAAAACUUUCCAAUCACUCUAACAAGGCACUAAACGUGCGUCACCAACUAUCACAGUAUGAAUCUGAUGAUUUUCAUCUAUAAUUAUUAUAUCAAUGACAGUCUGGAUGAUAAACUCUGGAAAUCGUUAAAGUACGGUGUGAUAAAUCUCAACCCAGUCGACUACUGGAAUCCAACUUUUUGGAUAAACAGCCUGCAAUACUUUUCAACGUACUUAUUGUGGGUCAGUCCGACAGAUGCCAGCAGAACCACAUAGCCAAGAACAAAAGUGAGCAGCUUGUGCCUUCUGAACCAGGCAACCAACCCUCGUCCUUCCUUGUGCCUGAAAGCAAUGAAGAGUGAUUAAAAAAUAUCUGAUUUAUCUCUGAGAAACUGCUUGGAUUUUUGUUGUUGAUCAUGCACGAAACGCAAUGACAAGUAUCAGAAUGUUGCUAAGACGACAAAAUGGAUUGGAUGAAAAGCCAAAGUCAGAUUUUUAUUCGCGCGCUAGACCGCAAAGGAAGUUGACGUUUUUUUCAUCAUUCCCAUUUACCUUGAAGAAGAAAACUCUUGGCUGUAAACCAGCAGAUAUCUGAUACGAACUAAAUCGCUAUUUACAACGAGGUAGUACUUGUUUGGAACUUUGCCACUCAUUGCAUCGAUUACAGUGUUUCUUGCUGUAUCCUCUAAAUAAGAAAGAAAAAGGUGAUUGAUUAGCUCACACAACGCGAUGCAGCUCAAUUGACUGCCGUGCAUGCUGCCGCCCCAUCCGUAUCCAACAGGACUGUAAGGCAAGCUGACACCCAGUUCGCUAGAGAAGUAGAUGCCUGUGCCGUAGAGAGAUCUCUGGAUAGUAUAACAAAAGCAGCAAAAUAAACAUCGACAAUGAUGCAAGUGCUUGAAGCAGAACAACUAUGCCAACCUUGCACAUGUUCUGUUGUAAGCCGUGGUGGAUUAUUGAGUGGAAAUUCUCAAGUCGACUGCCGUGGUAAGCGUAGAGGGUCGUGUGUCCCUGUGAAGCUGUUCUCCACCUCUCCUCAAACAGGGACUGCUUGGUGCUCGCAACUUGGAAUAUCAAAUUAGGAGGUGCUACUGCCAUUUCGGAUGGAACACGCUUCAGCACAGAGUCAUACUGCAACAUCAUUGUCAGCGAA